UACGUAGGGUGCAAGCGUUGUCCGGAAUUAUUGGGCGUAAAGGGCUCGUAGGCGGUCUGUCACGUCGGGAGUGAAAACUCGGGGCUUAACCCCGAGCCUGCUUCCGAUACGGGCAGACUAGAGGUAUGCAGGGGAGAAUGGAAUUCCUGGUGUAGCGGUGAAAUGCGCAGAUAUCAGGAGGAACACCGGUGGCGAAGGCGGGUCUCUGGGCAGUAACUGACGCUGAGGAGCGAAAGCAUGGGGAGCGAACAGG
rnacentral:rRNA from 1 species